rnacentral:rRNA from 1 species
UACGUAGGGGGCAAGCGUUGUCCGGAUUUAUUGGGCGUAAAGAGUGUGUAGGCGGCCGCACAGGUCCGUUGUGAAAACUGGAGGCUUAACCUCCAGACGUCGAUGGAAACCGUGCGGCUAGAGUCCGGAAGAGGAGAAUGGAAUUCCUGGUGUAGCGGUGAAAUGCGCAGAUAUCAGGAAGAACACCCGUGGCUAAGGCGGUUCUCUAGUACGGUACUGACGCUGAGACGCGAAAGCGUGGGGAGCGAACAGG